CCUACGGGAGGCAGCAGUAGGGAAUAUUGCACAAUGGGGGAAACCCUGAUGCAGCAACGCCGCGUGGAGGAUGAAGGAAUUCGGUAUGUAAAGUCCUAUCGUCAGAGAAGAAAAUGACGGUAGCUGACGAAAAAGCACCGGCUAACUCCGUGCCAGCAGCCGCGGUAAUACGGAGGGUGCAAGCGUUACUCGGAUUUACUGGGUGUAAAGGGCGCGUAGGCGGGAGUGCAAGUCUGAUGUGAAAUCCUGUGGCUCAACCCUAGAACUGCAUUUGAAACUGUACUUCUGGAGUGCAGGAGAGGUAAGUGGAAUUCUUGGUGUAGUGGUGAAAGCCGUAGAGAUCAGGAGGAAUACUCGUGGCGAAGGCGACCUGCUGGAAUGUAACUGACGCUGAGGCUCGAAAGCGUGGGGAGCAAACAGGAUUAGAUACCCUUGUAGUC
rnacentral:rRNA from 1 species